GAUGAACGCUGGCGGCGUGCCUAAUACAUGCAAGUCGAGCGAACGGACGAGAAGCUUGCUUUUCUGAUGUUAGCGGCGGACGGGUGAGUAACACGUGGAUAACCUACCUAUAAGACUGGGAUAACUUCGGGAAACCGGAGCUAAUACCGGAUAAUAUUUUGAACCGCAUGGUUCAAAAGUGAAAGACGGUCUUGCUGUCACUUAUAGAUGGAUCCGCGCUGCAUUAGCUAGUUGGUAAGGUAACGGCUUACCAAGGCAACGAUGCAUAGCCGACCUGAGAGGGUGAUCGGCCACACUGGAACUAAGCCACGGUCCAGACUCCUACGGGAGGCAGCAGUAGGGAAUCUUCCGAAAUGGGCGAAAGCCUGACGGAGCAACGCCGCGUGAGUGAUGAAGGUCUUCGGAUCGUAAAACUCUGUUAUUAGGGAAGAACAUAUGUGUAAGUAACUGUGCACAUCUUGACGGUACCUAAUCAGAAAGCCACGGCUAACUACGUG
rnacentral:rRNA from 1 species